rnacentral:rRNA from 1 species
CACACGACUCUCGGCAACGGAUAUCUCGGCUCUCGCAUCGAUGAAGAACGUAGCGAAAUGCGAUACCUGGUGUGAAUUGCAGAAUCCCGCGAACCAUCGAGUCUUUGAACGCAAGUUGCGCCCGACGCCAUUCGGCUGAGGGCACGCCUGCCUGGGCGUCACG